GACCAAUCUGAUGGUUCCGAGGUUGAGUCAAAAGUCCAAAUAUAUCAACGUGCAGCUGGUUAUUUCGUAAUAAAAUCGGAUGCCAUCCUUGACCAACAUUAACAAAAUUUUUCAGCCAAAUUCGAGUCUGCCCGAUUGCCCAACGAAUAAAAGUUCUUCCUGUUAAACGAAAAAGGAAUAAGGAGGAGAGGAAAAAA
rnacentral:lncRNA from 1 species